rnacentral:miRNA from 1 species
AGAGCUCCUCAGAUCUACUAGCU